UGCCUAUACAUGCAGUCGAACGAACUCUGGUAUUGAUUGGUGCUUGCAUCAUGAUUUACAUUUGAGUGAGUGGCGAACUGGUGAGUAACACGUGGGAAACCUGCCCAGAAGCGGGGGAUAACACCUGGAAACAGAUGCUAAUACCGCAUAACAACUUGGACCGCAUGGUCCGAGCUUGAAAGAUGGCUUCGGCUAUCACUUUUGGAUGGUCCCGCGGCGUAUUAGCUAGAUGGUGGGGUAACGGCUCACCAUGGCAAUGAUACGUAGCCGACCUGAGAGGGUAAUCGGCCACAUUGGGACUGAGACACGGCCCAAACUCCUACGGGAGGCAGCAGUAGGGAAUCUUCCACAAUGGACGAAAGUCUGAUGGAGCAACGCCGCGUGAGUGAAGAAGGGUUUCGGCUCGUAAAACUCUGUUGUUAAAGAAGAACAUAUCUGAGAGUAACUGUUCAGGUAUUGACGGUAUUUAACCAGAAAGCCACGGCUAACUACGUGCCAGCAGCCGCGGUAAUACGUAGGUGGCAAGCGUUGUCCGGAUUUAUUGGGCGUAAAGCGAGCGCAGGCGGUUUUUUAAGUCUGAUGUGAAAGCCUUCGGCUCAACCGAAGAAGUGCAUCGGAAACUGGGAAACUUGAGUGCAGAAGAGGACAGUGGAACUCCAUGUGUAGCGGUGAAAUGCGUAGAUAUAUGGAAGAACACCAGUGGCGAAGGCGGCUGUCUGGUCUGUAACUGACGCUGAGGCUCGAAAGUAUGGGUAGCAAACAGGAUUAGAUACCCUGGUAGUCCAUACCGUAAACGAUGAAUGCUAAGUGUUGGAGGGUUUCCGCCCUUCAGUGCUGCAGCUAACGCAUUAAGCAUUCCGCCUGGGGAGUACGGCCGCAAGGCUGAAACUCAAAGGAAUUGACGGGGGCCCGCACAAGCGGUGGAGCAUGUGGUUUAAUUCGAAGCUACGCGAAGAACCUUACCAGGUCUUGACAUACUAUGCAAAUCUAAGAGAUUAGACGUUCCCUUCGGGGACAUGGAUACAGGUGGUGCAUGGUUGUCGUCAGCUCGUGUCGUGAGAUGUUGGGUUAAGUCCCGCAACGAGCGCAACCCUUAUUAUCAGUUGCCAGCAUUAAGUUGGGCACUCUUGGUGAGACUGCCGGUGACAAACCGGAGGAAAGGUGGGGGAUGACGUCAAAUCAUCAUGGCCCCUUAUGACCUGGGGCUACACACGGGC
rnacentral:rRNA from 2 species